CGGCAGGCUUAAUACAUGCAAGUCGUGGGGCAGCAUGAGUAGCAAUACUUGAUGGCGACCGGCAAACGGGUGAGGAACACGUACACAACCUUCCUUCAAGCGGGGAAUAGCCCAGAGAAAUUUGGAUUAAUACCCCAUAAUAUAUUUGAUAAGGCAUCUUAUUAAUAUUAAAGCUUCGGCACUUGAUGAUGGGUGUGCGGCUGAUUAGAUAGUUGGCGGGGUAACGGCCCACCAAGUCUACGAUCAGUAGCUGAUGUGAGAGCAUGAUCAGCCACACGGGCACUGAGACACGGGCCCGACUCCUACGGGAGGCAGCAGUAAGGAAUAUUGGACAAUGGACGAAAGUCUGAUCCAGCCAUGCCGCGUGAAGGAUUAAGGUCCUCUGGAUUGUAAACUUCUUUUAUAUGGGACGAAAAAAGGGCAUUCUUGUUCACUUGACGGUACCAUAUGAAUAAGCACCGGCUAACUCCGUG
rnacentral:rRNA from 1 species